rnacentral:lncRNA from 1 species
CCCACUCAUCUGCCUACUGUCUGCUUAUUUCGUAGAUUCAGUUCUCAAACCUUCAGAGGGCAGGGGCUAUGUCUUCCCUCCCCUGCAAGGGAAAAGUGACUUCCUGCUCUUCCGGUCUGGCCUCAAAGGUUUUUACUAACAAAUCCACCAAUAAUUUUACUGAGGAUCUUUUGUAUGUCAUAAGUAACUUCUCUCUUGCUGCUUUCAAGAUUAUAUGUGUCUUAGACUUUUAUUUUGAUUAUCAUGUGCCUCAGUGUGAGUCUCUUUAUGUUCAUCUUACCUAAAGUUCAUUGAGCUUCUUGGAUUUUUAGACUCAUGUACUUCAUCACAUUUGUAAAAUUUUGGACCAUGUUUCUUCACAUAACCUCCUUGCCCCUUUCUGUCUCUCUUCUUUUUCUGAACUCCCAUAGUGCAUAUAGUGGCCUACUUGCCAGUGUUUUAUAAGGCCAUGAAGCUCUAUUCCCUUUUGUUUAUUCUUUUUUUUUCUUUACUGUUUUGCUCCUCAGACUCAAUAAUUUUAAUUGUAUUGCCUUUAAAUUUACUGAUUCUUUCUUCUGCUUGCUGAAAUCUGCAGUUGAAAUCCCUCUAGUAAAUUUUUCAAUUCAGUUGUAUUUUUCAGCUUCAUAAUUUAUAUGUAUAAUUUUAACUUCUCUGCUUUUUAUUUAUUUAUUUAUUUAUUUAUUUAUUUUUGAGACACAGUUUUGCUCUGUCACCCCAGGCUGGAGUGCAGUGGUGCAAUCUCAGCUCACUGCAACCUCCCCCUCCUGGGUUCAAGCGAUUCUCCUGCCUCAGCCUCCCAAGUAGCUGGGAUUACCAGCAUGCGCCACCACGCCCAGCUAAUUUUUGUGUUUUUAGUAGAGACAGAGUUUCACCAUUUUGGCCAGAAUGGUAUCAAAGUCCUGACCUUAAGUGAUCUGCCCGCCUUGGCCUCCCAGAAUGCUGGGAUUACAGGUGUGAACCACCACUCUGGUCUCUGCUGACAUUCUUAUUUUGCCUGUUUAUUGUUGUCCUCAUUUUCUUUGGUUCUUUGUGUUUUUCUUUAGAUCUUUGAGCAUAUUCAAGACAGCUAUUUUAAAGUCUUUGUCUUGUAGGUCCAAUGUACGUGCUCUCUAGGGAUAUUACCUGGAGAUUUACAUUUUCCUUUGAUUAGACCAGGUUUUACUACUUCUUUGUAUACCCUAUGAUUUUUUGUUGGCACUUCAAUACUCGAAUAAACAACCAUCUCUCUCAGCUUUUGCAGGAAGGCAAAAAGAGAUAAGCAGAAGCUGGGCUGGUGCCUCCUCUAGAACGAGACCAUGCUGAGCCAAGGAUGGAGUGGGGCAGCGGUAAAGAAAAUACCAUACAAUUUCCUACCUUUUUAAGGUGAAUUUUUUAUUAGGUAUUUACAUGGUUGCUGUAAACCUUUUUUUCCCACAGCUACUCUAAGAUUAGUUCAGCAACUUUCUGGUCAUUUUUGAUGGUUCCAUGGGGAAACGAGGAAUUGAAGCUUCCUAGUCUGCCAUUUUGCUGAUGUCAAUCCUUUGAGGAAGUUUUGACUAGUUAAGACUAUCACUUUGAAAAACCAAAAGCAAACAAUAUAUCAAGCAAAAUCAGCAACACACUUAGACCAAAGCUAAUUUCGGUAACGUCCACAAAACCUCUUAUAAAUCCAUAACAAAAAUUUAAAAAUCAAGUAAAUGACAUAAACAGGUAAUUUAAAGAAAAAGCAAUGCUACUCUUUUUGAUGACUUUACAGUGUACCCUCGCCUCUUAAACAGUCCUGUUUCUAGAUAAAGAAUAAGACUAGGCAUUCUAUACAUGCUGUAAACUCUGUAGUAGAGG